UACGUAGGGUGCAAGCGUUGUCCGGAAUUACUGGGCGUAAAGGGCGCGUAGGCGGUCCCGUCAGUCCCUUGUGAAAUCCCCCGGCUCAACUGGGGAACUGCAAGGGAUACGGCGGGGCUUGAGUUCGGGAGAGGGAAGCGGAAUUCCGGGUGUAGCGGUGAAAUGCGUAGAUAUCCGGAGGAACACCGGUGGCGAAGGCGGCUUCCUGGACCGAUACUGACGCUGAGGCGCGAAAGCUAGGGGAGCAAACGGG
rnacentral:rRNA from 1 species